UACGAAGGGGGCAAGCGUUGUCCGGAAUUAUUGGGCGUAAAGAGCGUGUAGGCGGCCCGAUUAGUCAGCUGUGAAAGCCCAGGGCUCAACCCUGGAAUGCCGGUGGAUACUGUCGGGCUAGAGUCCGGAAGGGGCGAGUGGAAUUCCUGGUGUAGCGGUGAAAUGCGCAGAUAUCAGGAGGAACACCAAUGGCGAAGGCAGCUCGCUGGGACGUGACUGACGCUGAGACGCGAAAGCGUGGGGAGCAAACAGG
rnacentral:rRNA from 1 species